GACGAACGCUGGCGGCGUGCCUAACACAUGCAAGUCGAACGGAAAGGCCCUGCUUUUGUGGGGUGCUCGAGUGGCGAACGGGUGAGUAACACGUGAGUAACCUGCCCCUGACUUUGGGAUAACUUCAGGAAACUGGGGCGAAUACCGGAUAGGAGCUCCUGCUGCAUGGUGGGGGUUGGAAAGAUUCGGCGGUGGGGGAUGGUCUCGCGGGUUAUCAGCUUGUUGGUGGGGUAGUGGCGUACCAAGGCUUUGACGGGUAGCCGGCCUGAGAGGGUGGCCAGCCACAUUGGGACUGAGAGACGGCCCAGACUCGUACGGGCGGCAGCAGUGGAGAAUAUUGCACAAUAGGCGGAAGCCAGAUGCAGCGGCGCCGCGUGCGGGAUGCCGGCCUACGGGUUGUAAACCGCUUUGGCAUGAGACGAAGCGUGCGUGACGGUAAUGGGUAAGGAAGCACCGGCUAACUACGUG
rnacentral:rRNA from 1 species